ACGUAAAGAAGGGAGAAGCUGUCAUUGGCUGAAAAGCACUGGGGCAGGGCGAGAUUGCAGAGUUAGGGACCGUCUGCCAAUUUUAUACUGCUAAUGAAAACUCCAGUUGUGCAUUGUGUCACAGCUUGAAAUUGAGUUUACUGAUCAUGGAACUUGCAGAUAAUCCCUAACUUUGCACAAUUUUCAGCGUGACUUCGGGUCUGCAGCACAGCCAAGCCCCAGUUUAGCCCCGGCCAAGUACGGGUGUACCCCCUGUACCCCUCUGCUUGUACUGACAGGACCCAGUUUAGCCGGUGAAAGGGCCACAGCAGAGCAAUGCAAGGAAUGGGUUAUUCUCCUUCCAGAGAUCAAUCACACAGUGACCAUAGUUGUGUAGUUGUAUAGUUGUGCUGUCAUCAGGCACAUUGUAUAUUGUUUAGAAAAGGGCAUCCAUUUGUAUUGACCUUUCUCACGGGCUGCAGCACAGUGAUUUGUGAUAAAUAAUAAAAGCAGUUCAGGGGCACAUGAGCGGGGGGUUAUAUUAUGGAUGAGAAAUAAUUAUGGGGAGGUGCAAUAGUAAUGAAAUAGGGGUUGUUAAAAGGAACAUUAUAUGACAUUAAAUGGGGAGACUGAGGACAGUUCUGGAUGGUUUAUGAUAUCUGUAAAUCUCCUCCACAGUAAACAUGGCCGUGCUACCUACAUAUGCAGACCUGGGCAAAUCCUCCCGAGAUGUUUUUAAUAAAGGAUAUGGAGUUCACAAGCAGCGGCUUAUCCAACAAUGACACCGGAAAAGCAUCUUGAAACCUACAGACAAAAUACAUGAUGAAAGAGGCUGGACUCACCUUCACCCAGAAAUGGAACACAGACAACAUUCUGGGGACUGAAGUGGCCCUGGAAAAUAAGUAAGAAGAGUGCUAAGCUAAAAACCUCCUACAAGAGAGACUAUGCCAACUUGGGCAUUGAUAUCACCCUGGACUUGGCUGGUCCCACUAUAUAUGGCUGGAGGGUGCUUGGCUAUCAGGGCUGGCUGGCCAGCUAUCAGAUGGCAUUUGACACCGCUAAAGCCAGACUGGCACAAAACAACUUUGCACUAGGUUAUACAGCAGGAGACUUGCAGCUUCAUACAAAUGUAAAUAUGAUGUACACCGGGGAUGAGUGACCAACUUGUAGACUGCUGUGUAUAGCACUGAUAAUACACUGUACUGAACUAUUGUACCAGGUAUCUCUACACACUGAUAAUGACCAGGCUGCUCUGUAUAAUGAUGCCGAGUAUCUCUAUACACUGAUAAUGACCAGGCUGCUU